UACGUAGGGUGCGAGCGUUGUCCGGAAUUAUUGGGCGUAAAGAGCUCGUAGGCGGUCUGUCGCGUCGAUCGUGAAAACUUGGGGCUUAACCCUGAGCUUGCGGUCGAUACGGGCAUGACUGGAGUUCGGCAGGGGAGACUGGAAUUCCUGGUGUAGCGGUGAAAUGCGCAGAUAUCAGGAGGAACACCGGUGGCGAAGGCGGGUCUCUGGGCCGAUACUGACGCUGAGGAGCGAAAGCGUGGGGAGCGAAUGGG
rnacentral:rRNA from 1 species